rnacentral:rRNA from 1 species
CGAUGAAGCCCAGCUUGCUGGGUGGAUUAGUGGCGAACGGGUGAGUAACACGUGAGUAACCUGCCCUCCACUCUGGGAUAACUCCGGGAAACCGGUGCUAAUACUGGAUAGGACUCCUGCCUGCAUGGGCUGGGGGUGGAAAGAUUUAUCGGUGGUGGAUGGACUCGCGGCCUAUCAGCUUGUUGGUGGGGUAAUGGCCUACCAAGGCGACGACGGGUAGCCGGCCUGAGAGGGUGACCGGCCACACUGGGACUGAGACACGGCCCAGACUCCUACGGGAGGCAGCAGUGGGGAAUAUUGCACAAUGGGCGAAAGCCUGAUGCAGCGACGCCGCGUGCGGGAUGACGGCCUUCGGGUUGUAAACCGCUUUCAGCUCUGACGAAGCUUUUGUGACGGUAGGAGCAGAAGAAGCACCGGCUAACUACGUGCCAGCAGCCGCGGUAAUACGUAGGGUGCGAGCGUUGUCCGGAAUUAUUGGGCGUAAAGAGCUUGUAGGCGGCUUGUCGCGUCUGCUGUGAAAACCCGGGGCUUAACCCCGGGCCUGCAGUGGGUACGGGCAGGCUAGAGUGUGGUAGGGGAGACUGGAAUUCCUGGUGUAGCGGUGGAAUGCGCAGAUAUCAGGAGGAACACCGAUGGCGAAGGCAGGUCUCUGGGCCAUUACUGACGCUGAGAAGCGAAAGCGUGGGGAGCGAACAGGAUUAGAUACCCUGGUAGUCCACGCCGUAAACGUUGGGCGCUAGGUGUGGGUCCCAUUCCACGGGGUCCGUGCCGCAGCUAACGCAUUAAGCGCCCCGCCUGGGGAGUACGGCCGCAAGGCUAAAA